UGUGAAGAAAUCCCUCUUUGUGUUCGUUAUUUCUCCCCUUUUUCAUUCGGUAGAUGUAACUACCGAACAGAGACCACCCCCCUGGCUCGUUAACUUCAAAGCAUGCCUCAAUUGAACCCUCUACCUGUGCGGCCGUCGUUCGUAUUGCCGAACGCCACGUGGCUGAGAAAACGGCGGCUAUCUUUUUCUGUGCGAACAAAGGCAGCGGGACUUGGUCGUCGAGUGUCUAGAACUAAAAUCGAACACUCAACUUCCCGAACACCGGUCCCAACAUACGA